GAUACGAACGGAGGAAAAGAAGAAAAGGGAUGAAAAAAGAAAGAGCAAGGAAGAUAAGGAGACAAAAGAGGAAGAGAAAAUGCAAAGAGAAAGAAAGAAAAGAGGAAGAGACAAAAGAAAAAGGAAAAAGGAAACCGCUAGAACGAGGAGAGAGAUACGAACGGAGGAAAAGAAGAAAAAGGAUGAAAAAAAGAAAGAGAAAGGAAGAUAAGGAGACAAAAGAGGAAGAGAAAAGGCAAAGAGAAAGAAAGAAAAGAGGAAGAGACAAGGGAAAAGAAAAAAAGGAGCCGCUAGAACGCGUCGACUCGGUUUGUUUACGUUUUGCCGCGGGGAGUUGCACGUGUGGGCGGCGUUCAAAAAGAUCUACGUUUAUUUCACGUUCCUGACCUCGCCCGCCUUUAAAAGGCGGGCGUGACAUCGGAGUUACCACAGUGUGCCUUCCCCAGGUCCUCGUUGCUCCAGGGCGUAGCUCCGUUACCCUGGGGGGCCUAUGGGGGUGCGGGGUACAGGCACCCAUCGCUCCGGGACACCUUGCCUCAGUGCUCAUCUCUGUCAAAUUAAAGACUCAAGAGCUGUGUGAAGAAGCUGAGCAGCGUCUCCCUGGCCUGGGCGUGGAGUGAGCUGGUCCCUUCAUCACCAGCACCAUAGACCAGGGGAUGAGGUGCUCCUGGCCCUCCGGCACACCCUCCUGGGCGGACCAGAGGAUGUCCACUGUGCUGGUGAGUGGCCUGACCCUUGCAUCUCUCUGGGUCAUUGUAGUGCUCCAAACUUGCUCUUUUUCUGUGGCCUGACCCCUGCAUCUCUCUGGGUCAUUGUAGUGCUCCAAACUUGCUCUUUUUCUGUGGCCUGACCCCUGCAUCUCUCUGGGUCAUUGUAGUGCUCCAAACUUGCUCUUUUUCUGUGGCCUGACCCCUGCAUCUCUCUGGGUCAUCGUGGGUCAUUUCAAUUUCAAUUGCAUAUUUUUUCU